UUGUCGUUCUUGCUGGCUGCUUAUAGCAAAUGUAGUAGCUCUCAGUUCUGCAGUCAGAAGCCCAGCACGGCUCAGCGGGGUUCUCAGCUCAAGGUCUCACUUGAUGGAAGUGAAGGGGGCACUUUUGAAUGAACAAUCCUACACCAAGGCAAGUCAUUAUGAGGGGAGACAGAAGAUUGGGAGAGAAGGACUUUCCAUUGAGUGGAUGGUAGGACUGUGAGCCGUGCCAUGUUCCUUGCUCCAGGAUGAAGUAGUAGCUCCAGGAUUCUGGCUGCAUUCCCAAUUGUGGGAUGCAGAUACUCCCAGCGAGGGGACAGCAGAGCCCUAGAUGAAAUGAUCUCAGUCUCUGAAUGAUGCGUGGAGGAAAGGUAUUCACCAACCACGAAAUACCUGCCUUGGACUGCUACUGGGAG